rnacentral:rRNA from 1 species
UACGUAGGGUGCGAGCGUUGUCCGGAAUUAUUGGGCGUAAAGAGCUUGUAGGCGGUUUGUCGCGUCUGCUGUGAAAAUCCAGGGCUCAACCCUGGACCUGCAUUCGAUACGGGCAGACUAGAGUUCGGUAGGGGAGACUGGAAUUCCUGGUGUAGCGGUGAAAUGCGCAGAUAUCAGGAGGAACACCGGUGGCGAAGGCGGUUCUCUGGGAAUGUCCUGACGCUGAGGAGCGAAAGUGUGGGGAGCGAACAGG